GAUUAUAUAGUUUAAUAAAAACAUUAAUUUUGUAAAUUAAAAUUAAAAAAUUUUUUUAUAAUCA
rnacentral:tRNA from 1 species